rnacentral:rRNA from 1 species
UUAAGCAUAUCAAUAAGCGGAGGAAAAGAAACCAACAGGGAUUACCUCAGUAACGGCGAGUGAAGCGGUAACAGCUCAAAUUUGAAAUCUGGGUCUUUCAGGCUCCGAGUUGUAAUUUGUAGAAGAUGCUUCGGGUGCGGCUCCGGUCUAAGUUCCUUGGAACAGGACGUCAUAGAGGGUGAGAAUCCCGUAUGUGAUCGGUUGCUUGCGCCCAUGUGAAGCUCUUUCGACGAGUCGAGUUGUUUGGGAAUGCAGCUCCAAAUGGGUGGUAUAUUUCAUCUAAAGCUAAAUAUUGGCCAGAGACCGAUAGCGCACAAGUAGAGUGAUCGAAAGAUGAAAAGCACUUUGGAAAGAGAGUUAAACAGUACGUGAAAUUGUUGAAAGGGAAGCGCUUGCAACCAGACUUGCGUGUCGUCGAUCAUCCGGGGUUCUCCCCGGUGCACUCGGCUUCACUCAGGCCAGCAUCGGUUUCGGUGGUUGGAUAAAGGCCUUGGGAAUGUAGCUCCUCUCGGGGAGUGUUAUAGCCCUCGGUGCAAUGCAGCCUACCGGGACCGAGGACCGCGCUUCGGCUAGGAUGCUGGCGUAAUGGUUGUAAGCGACCCGUCUUGAAACACGGACCAAGGAGUCUAACAUCUAUGCGAGUGUUUGGGUGUCAAACCCAUACGCGUAAUGAAAGUGAACGGAGGUGAGAACCCUUAAGGGUGCAUCAUCGACCGAUCCUGAUGUCUUCGGAUGGAUUUGAGUAAGAGCAUAGCUGUUGGGACCCGAAAGAUGGUGAACUAUGCCUGAAUAGGGUGAAGCCAGAGGAAACUCUGGUGGAGGCUCGCAGCGGUUCUGACGUGCAAAUCGAUCGUCAAAUUUGGGUAUAGGGGCGAAAGACUAAUCGAACCAUCUAGUAGCUGGUCUG